GACGAACGCUGGCGGCGUGCUUAACACAUGCAAGUCGAACGGAAAGGCCUCUUUCGGGGGGUACUCGAGUGGCGAACGGGUGAGUAACACGUGAGUAACCUGCCCUUGACUUUGGGAUAACUUCAGGAAACUGGGGCUAAUACCGGAUAGGAGCUCCUGCUGCAUGGUGGGGGUUGGAAAGUUUCGGCGGUUGGGGAUGGACUCGCGGCUUAUCAGCUUGUUGGUGGGGUAAUGGCUUACCAAGGCUUUGACGGGUAGCCGGCCUGAGAGGGUGACCGGCCACAUUGGGACUGAGAUACGGCCCAGACUCCUACGGGAGGCAGCAGUGGGGAAUAUUGCACAAUGGGUGGAAGCCUGAUGCAGCAACGCCGGGUGCGGGAUGACGGCCUUCGGGUUGUAAACCGCUUUCGCUCAUGACGAAGCUUUGUGUGACGGUAGUGGGUAAAGAAGCACCGGCUAACUACGUG
rnacentral:rRNA from 1 species